UUCGGCCGCCGAACAUGCAUGCACUUCGGGAGUGCUUUAGGCCCCCGAAGGCAUAAGUGAGGAAAGUCCAGGUUCGGCCGCCGAACAUGGCAUGCAUGCGGAGGCACUUUCGGCCCCCGAACGUGGCCUGGCCAGCCACUAUAAAAGGGUCCCUUAGCCGAAAACGGGCGAGCUUUUCCCCAUUUUCGGCCAAGGUGAGCUUUUCCGCCAUUCCUCACCACCCUUGAGUUCUUUCCUUCAAAU
rnacentral:lncRNA from 1 species